UAGGGAAUCUUCGGCAAUGGGGGGAACCCUGACCGAGCAACGCCGCGUGAGUGAAGAAGGUUUUCGGAUCGUAAAGCUCUGUUGUUAAGGAAGAACGAGUGUGAGAAUGGAAAGUUCAUGCUGUGACGGUACUUAACCAGAAAGCUCCGGCUAAAUACGUUCCAGCAGCCGCGGUAAUACGUAUGGAGCGAGCGUUGUCCGGAAUUAUUGGGCGUAAAGGGUACGCAGGCGGUUUAAUAAGUGGAAUGUUAAAGAUCGGGGCUCAACCCCGUAAAGCAUUGGAAACUGAUAAACUUGAGUAGUGGAGAGGAAAGUGGAAUUCCUAGUGUAGUGGUGAAAUACGUAGAUAUUAGGAGGAAUACCAGUAGCGAAGGCGACUUUCUGGACACAAACUGACGCUGAGGUACGAAAGCGUGGGGAGCAAACAGG
rnacentral:rRNA from 1 species